AUUGAACGCUGGCGGCAUGCCUUACACAUGCAAGUCGAACGGCAGCACGGGAGCAAUCCUGGUGGCGAGUGGCGAACGGGUGAGUAAUAUAUCGGAACGUGCCCAGUAAUGGGGGAUAGCCCGGCGAAAGCCGGAUUAAUACCGCAUACGACCUACGGGUGAAAGCAGGGGAUCGCAAGACCUUGCGUUAUUGGAGCGGCCGAUAGCAGAUUAGCUAGUUGGUGGGGUAAAGGCCUACCAAGGCGACGAUCUGUAGCUGGUCUGAGAGGACGACCAGCCACACUGGGAAUUAGACACGGCCCAGACCCCUACGGGAGGCAGCAGUGGGGAAUUUUGGACAAUGGGCGCAAGCCUGAUCCAGCCAUGCCGCGUGCGGGAAGAAGGCCUUCGGGUUGUAAACCGCUUUUGUCAGGGAAGAAACGCUCUGGGCUAAUACCCUGGGGUAAUGACGGUACCUGAAGAAUAAGCACCGGCUAACUACGUGCCAGCCGCCGCUGUAAAAC
rnacentral:rRNA from 1 species